rnacentral:antisense_RNA from 1 species
CUCUCUUUCUUCGUUGUUGUUAACGGAGAAACUUGCCGCCCAGUGGCUUUGUUUCAAGUGGAAGUCCGCGUGCUUUGAUACCCUCAGGGGGCACUUACAGGCUAGAUGGACACAGGGCUAGGGGAUAAGAAUGCAGCAGUGAACAUGGUUCCUGCAGUCAUGAAGCAAAUGUAUCCACUGUGAUACAAAAGAGACUGUAAAAAACAAACCCAAAUGGACAACAGGAAAAGACAGAAGCUGAUUGAGGUCCCAGCUUGGUAACAGUUUGAAGAGUUGCAGGACUGGCUGGAUGAGUACUGGCUGCAGCAAGUCAUGCUGCCAGGAUUCUUUAUGGCUGUUUCUGCUUCCACUACAGCUGAGUCAGAAAGGUCGCUGCCCAGUGGUGGCAGUAGAUGCAGUGGACCUGGCAAGCAAAUGUUUCCGCUAUUAGCUCUCAGCAACAGAGACUCAUUUAUGGUCACCUUGGAAAUCUGGGCUUAUCGAUCUACAGCCCAAGUCUGCUGAGAAGCUGGAGCUUACUAAAGGGGAAACCUGAGAGCUGUUCAAGCCCCAAACAUUUUCCACUUCUGCGUCACCUCUGCUGUCUGUUAGCAGAGUGGAGGAGAAAAUACACCAGCACAAACAACGUGAAAAAAUACUCUAUUCAUUAAAAGCUGUAACUUCCAGACUGGACUUGAGAAGCAAUUAAGCAACAGAGGCACCUCAUCUACUAUCUGUAUUCAGGCAUGCUCAUGAGAACAUGCUGCUCCAGCUGGACUUAGAGGAGCCCGGUGCAUCAGAGGCAUUCCUGACAGAGUCUCGUGGUCCUGCUGGUCCACUCACUGGUACCCAGUCCUCCUCAUCGUCGGGGAUAGGUUCCAAGACCCCCAGGGGAUGCCUGAAACUGCGGAUGGUGAAAUGCCAUCACAUCCUUCAUACUCAUUUUUUUAGGGCCAUAGGAGACCCAAUAUAUCUGUCUAUAUUGCAAUAAAUUACAAGACUUUGACCAAAGACCCAGUUCCUAACUGACUGCUCUUGAAGCCAGCUCCAUUGCAGAAUUUAGGAACAGAGAUGAGACUUGUCUGACAUGGGGAACUGUCACAGGAUAAUGCCUUGGAAAAGCCUGGUUUUAGAACUUGCCUCUCUCAAUUUGAGGAAGUGUAUAUUUUUAAGUUUCUAAAAACAAGAUAUUAUAAGAUUUGUAACAUUACAAUGACUGCCAAUGCAAAGAACCUCUGGGACUCUAGUGCAUCAGUGGAAUAUCAGCACAUUGAUGGACAUGUGGACUAUUUGGAUUCAGAAGACCUGGUUUGAGCUCAGCUUUGCUGCCAACUGUAUGUGUGACCUUAAGUAAAAUUAUCCCCUCUCUC